UGCCACUGGGAUCAUAGACUUGCCU
rnacentral:piRNA from 1 species